rnacentral:lncRNA from 1 species
GAUUCUCCGUGCUAGUCGCUGUUAUCGCAGUUUGUGGCACAUAAUGUGUUAUUCAAUGACAGGACGUGUCAGUUUUUUGCAAAUUUUGAAACCCAUCACAACCGUUUCCAACAGAGAACAUGAAACUAUUACCUAUUAUAUUGCUGUUAGCAACCAGCGUGUCGCUGGUGCAUGCAAUCCAGGGCUUGGGCGACGUGAGUUUGGUGACUUCCAGAUGUACAUACUUCACGCCACUAAGGGACCAUUUUUCGAGGCGCAGAAUAUAUCGUUGACGUUCGAUUAUCAAGUCAAUCCAAUUGACACCAUUGAGGUGACUUUCGUUGACAUCAACACUUCUUUGGAGAAUCAAUGUGUGACAACUUUUCCCGGAACACAAGUUCUUGCAAGAGGCUUCGAAAUCACUGUGACAACUUUAAACCCUGUCCUCGAAUUUUCUGGAACAGCAACUGUUUUUGGAAUACGUAGAUUGUGAAAAUGUAAAAUGCGAUUAAAUUUUUCGUGAGAACAUGUUA